AUUUGAUGCCUGGCAGUUCCCUACUCUCGCAUGGGGAGACCCCACACUACCAUCGGCGCUACGGCGUUUCACUUCUGAGUUCGGCAUGGGGUCAGGUGGGACCACCGCGCUANNNNNNNNNNNNNNNNNNNNUCAGGUGGGACCACCGCGCUACUGCCGCCAGGCAAAUUCUGUUAUCAGACCGUUUUUACGUUCUGAUGUAAUCUGAAUCAGUGCUGAAAAUCGUCUUCUCAUCCGCCAAAACAUCUUCGGCGUUGUANNNNNNNNNNNNNNNNNNNNUCUCAUCCGCCAAAACAUCUUCGGCGUUGUAAGGUUAAGCCUCACGGUUCAUUAGUACCGGUUAGCUCAACGCAUCGCUGCGCUUACACACCCGGCCUAUCAACGUCGUCGUCUUCAACGUUCCUUCAGGAGACUCUAAGUCUCAGGGAGAACUCAUCUCGGGGCAAGUUUCGUGCUUAGAUGCUUUCAGCACUUAUCUCUUCCGCAUUUAGCUACCGGGCAGUGCCAUUGGCAUGACAACCCGAACACCAGUGAUGCGUCCACUCCGGUCCUCUCGUACUAGGAGCAGCCCCCCUCAGUUCUCCAGCGCCCACGGCAGAUAGGGACCGAACUGUCUCACGACGUUCUAAACCCAGCUCGCGUACCACUUUAAAUGGCGAACAGCCAUACCCUUGGGACCUACUUCAGCCCCAGGAUGUGAUGAGCCGACAUCGAGGUGCCAAACACCGCCGUCGAUAUGAACUCUUGGGCGGUAUCAGCCUGUUAUCCCCGGAGUACCUUUUAUCCGUUGAGCGAUGGCCCUUCCAUUCAGAACCACCGGAUCACUAUGACCUGCUUUCGCACCUGCUCGCGCCGUCACGCUCGCAGUCAAGCUGGCUUAUGCCAUUGCACUAACCUCCUGAUGUCCGACCAGGAUUAGCCAACCUUCGUGCUCCUCCGUUACUCUUUAGGAGGAGACCGCCCCAGUCAAACUACCCACCAGACACUGUCCGCAACCCGGGUAACGGGUCCACGUUAGAACAUCAAACAUUAAAGGGUGGUAUUUCAAGGUCGGCUCCAUGCAGACUGGCGUCCACACUUCAAAGCCUCCCACCUAUCCUACACAUCAAGGCUCAAUGUUCAGUGUCAAGCUAUAGUAAAGGUUCACGGGGUCUUUCCGUCUUGCCGCGGGUACACUGCAUCUUCACAGCGAGUUCAAUUUCACUGAGUCUCGGGUGGAGACAGCCUGGCCAUCAUUACGCCAUUCGUGCAGGUCGGAACUUACCCGACAAGGAAUUUCGCUACCUUAGGACCGUUAUAGUUACGGCCGCCGUUUACCGGGGCUUCGAUCAGGAGCUUCGCUUGCGCUGACCCCAUCAAUUAACCUUCCGGCACCGGGCAGGCGUCACACCGUAUACGUCCACUUUCGUGUUUGCACAGUGCUGUGUUUUUAAUAAACAGUUGCAGCCAGCUGGUAUCUUCGACUGACUUCAGCUCCAUGAGUAAAUCACUUCACCUACGUGUCAGCGUGCCUUCUCCCGAAGUUACGGCACCAUUUUGCCUAGUUCCUUCACCCGAGUUCUCUCAAGCGCCUUGGUAUUCUCUACCUGACCACCUGUGUCGGUUUGGGGUACGAUUUGAUGUUACCUGAUGCUUAGAGGCUUUUCCUGGAAGCAGGGCAUUUGUUGCUUCAGCACCGUAGUGCCUCGUCGUCACGCCUCAGUGUUAAAGUGAACCGGAUUUACCUGGAACACACACCUACACGCUUAAACCGGGACAACCGUCGCCCGGCCAACAUAGCCUUCUCCGUCCCCCCNNNNNNNNNNNNNNNNNNNNCCCCCCUUCGCAGUAACACCAAGUACGGGAAUAUUAACCCGUUUCCCAUCGACUACGCCUUUCGGCCUCGCCUUAGGGGUCGACUCACCCUGCCCCGAUUAACGUUGGACAGGAACCCUUGGUCUUCCGGCGAGCGGGCUUUUCACCCGCUUUAUCGUUACUUAUGUCAGCAUUCGCACUUCUGAUACCUCCAGCAACCCUCACAGGCCACCUUCACAGGCUUACAGAACGCUCCCCUACCCAACAACNNNNNNNNNNNNNNNNNNNNGUCGCUGCCGCAGCUUCGGUGCAUGGUUUAGCCCCGUUACAUCUUCCGCGCAGGCCGACUCGACCAGUGAGCUAUUACGCUUUCUUUAAAUGAUGGCUGCUUCUAAGCCAACAUCCUGGCUGUCUGGGCCUUCCCACAUCGUUUCCCACUUAACCAUGACUUUGGGACCUUAGCUGGCGGUCUGGGUUGUUUCCCUCUUCACGACGGACGUUAGCACCCGCCGUGUGUCUCCCGUGAUAACAUUCUCCGGUAUUCGCAGUUUGCAUCGGGUUGGUAAGCCGGGAUGGCCCCCUAGCCGAAACAGUGCUCUACCCCCGGAGAUGAAUUCACGAGGCGCUACCUAAAUAGCUUUCGGGGAGAACCAGCUAUCUCCCGGUUUGAUUGGCCUUUCACCCCCAGCCACAGGUCAUCCGCUAAUUUUUCAACAUUAGUCGGUUCGGUCCUCCAGUUAGUGUUACCCAACCUUCAACCUGCCCAUGGCUAGAUCACCGGGUUUCGGGUCUAUACCCUGCAACUUAACGCCCGGUUAAGACUCGGUUUCCCUCCGGCUCCCCUAUACGGUUAACCUUGCUACAGAAUAUAAGUCGCUGACCCAUUAUACAAAAGGUACGCAGUCACACNNNNNNNNNNNNNNNNNNNNGUUAACCUUGCUACAGAAUAUAAGUCGCUGACCCAUUAUACAAAAGGUACGCAGUCACACAGGUAAACCUGUGCUCCCACUGCUUGUACGUACACGGUUUCAGGUUCUUUUUCACUCCCCUCGCCGGGGUUCUUUUCGCCUUUCCCUCACGGUACUGGUUCACUAUCGGUCAGUCAGGAGUAUUUAGCCUUGGAGGAUGGUCCCCCCAUAUUCAGACAGGAUACCACGUGUCCCGCCCUACUCAUCGAGCUCACAGCACAUGCGCUUUUGUGUACGGGGCUGUCACCCUGUAUCGCGCGCCUUUCCAGACGCUUCCACUAACACACAUGCUGAUUCAGGCUCUGGGCUCCUCCCCGUUCGCUCGCCGCUACUGGGGGAAUCUCGGUUGAUUUCUUUUCCUCGGGGUACUUAGAUGUUUCAGUUCCCCCGGUUCGCCUCAUUAACCUAUGGAUUCAGUUAAUGAUAGUGUGACGAAUCACACUGGGUUUCCCCAUUCGGAAAUCGCCGGUUAUAACGGUUCAUAUCACCUUACCGGCGCUUAUCGCAGAUUAGCACGUCCUUCAUCGCCUCUGACUGCCAGGGCAUCCACCGUGUACGCUUAGUCGCUUAACCUCACAACCCGAAGAUGUUUCUUACGAUUCAUCAUCGUGUUGCGAAAAUUUGAGAGACUCACGAACAACUUUCGUUGUUCUGUGUUUCAAUUUUCAGCUUGAUCCAGAUUUUUAAAGAGCAAA
rnacentral:rRNA from 1 species